rnacentral:rRNA from 1 species
GACAGAGGUGCCGAGCGUUAGGCGGAAUCACUGGGCUUAAAGCGUGUGUAGGCGGAUGCCUAAGUACCUUGUGAAAUCCCACGGCUCAACCGUGGAACUGCUUGGUAUACUGGGUGUCUUGAGCCACUUAGGGGCAAGCGGAACAAAUGGUGGAGCGGUGAAAUGCGUAGAUAUCAUUUGGAACGCCAAUGGUGAAAACAGACGACUGGGAGCACGCUGACGCUGAGACACGAAAGCCAGGGGAGCGAACGGG